GGAGUUGUGGCUUAGCGAUAGAGCACUCAUCUCGGACGUGCAAGGCCCUGAGUUCAAUCCUCAGCACCA
rnacentral:tRNA from 1 species